CUGCGUGGAGCCAACCUUGAAAUACCACCCUUUAAUGUUUGAUGUUCUAACGUGGACCCGUAAUCCGGGUUGCGGACAGUGUCUGGUGGGUAGUUUGACUGGGGCGGUCUCCUCCUAAAGAGUAACGGAGGAGCACGAAGGUUGGCUAAUCCUGGUCGGACAUCAGGAGGUUAGUGCAAUGGCAUAAGCCAGCUUGACUGCGAGCGUGACGGCGCGAGCAGGUGCGAAAGCAGGUCAUAGUGAUCCGGUGGUUCUGAAUGGAAGGGCCAUCGCUCAACGGAUAAAAGGUACUCCGGGGAUAACAGGCUGAUACCGCCCAAGAGUUCAUAUCGACGGCGGUGUUUGGCACCUCGAUGUCGGCUCAUCACAUCCUGGGGCUGAAGUAGGUCCCAAGGGUAUGGCUGUUCGCCAUUUAAAGUGGUACGCGAGCUGGGUUUAGAACGUCGUGAGACAGUUCGGUCCCUAUCUGCCGUGGGCGCUGGAGAACUGAGGGGGGCUGCUCCUAGUACGAGAGGACCGGAGUGGACGCAUCACUGGUGUUCGGGUUGUCAUGCCAAUGGCACUGCCCGGUAGCUAAAUGCGGAAGAGAUAAGUGCUGAAAGCAUCUAAGCACGAAACUUGCCCCGA
rnacentral:rRNA from 1 species